ACGCUAGCUACAGGCUUAACACAUGCAAGUCGAGGGGCAGCAUGGUCUUAGCUUGCUAAGGCCGAUGGCGACCGGCGCACGGGUGAGUAACACGUAUCCAACCUGCCGUCUACUCUUGGACAGCCUUCUGAAAGGAAGAUUAAUACAAGAUGGCAUCAUGAGUCCGCAUGUUCACAUGAUUAAAGGUAUUCCGGUAGACGAUGGGGAUGCGUUCCAUUAGAUAGUAGGCGGGGUAACGGCCCACCUAGUCUUCGAUGGAUAGGGGUUCUGAGAGGAAGGUCCCCCACAUUGGAACUGAGACACGGUCCAAACUCCUACGGGAGGCAGCAGUGAGGAAUAUUGGUCAAUGGGCGAGAGCCUGAACCAGCCAAGUAGCGUGAAGGAUGACUGCCCUAUGGGUUGUAAACUUCUUUUAUAAAGGAAUAAAGUCGGGUAUGGAUACCCGUUUGCAUGUACUUUAUGAAUAAGGAUCGGCUAACUCCGUGCCAGCAGCCGCGGUAAUACGGAGGAUCCGAGCGUUAUCCGGAUUUAUUGGGUUUAAAGGGAGCGUAGAUGGAUGUUUAAGUCAGUUGUGAAAGUUUGCGGCUCAACCGUAAAAUUGCAGUUGAUACUGGAUAUCUUGAGUGCAGUUGAGGCAGGCGGAAUUCGUGGUGUAGCGGUGAAAUGCUUAGAUAUCACGAAGAACUCCGAUUGCGAAGGCAGCCUGCUAAGCUGCAACUGACAUUGAGGCUCGAAAGUGUGGGUAUCAAACAGGAUUAGAUACCCUGGUAGUCCACACGGUAAACGAUGAAUACUCGCUGUUUGCGAUAUACUGCAAGCGGCCAAGCGAAAGCGUUAAGUAUUCCACCUGGGGAGUACGCCGGCAACGGUGAAACUCAAAGGAAUUGACGGGGGCCCGCACAAGCGGAGGAACAUGUGGUUUAAUUCGAUGAUACGCGAGGAACCUUACCCGGGCUUAAAUUGCAGAUGAAUUACGGUGAAAGCCGUAAGCCGCAAGGCAUCUGUGAAGGUGCUGCAUGGUUGUCGUCAGCUCGUGCCGUGAGGUGUCGGCUUAAGUGCCAUAACGAGCGCAACCCUUGUUGUCAGUUACUAACAGGUUCCGCUGAGGACUCUGACAAGACUGCCAUCGUAAGAUGUGAGGAAGGUGGGGAUGACGUCAAAUCAGCACGGCCCUUACGUCCGGGGCUACACACGUGUUACAAUGGGGGGUACAGAGGGCCGCUACCACGCGAGUGGAUGCCAAUCCCCAAAACCUCUCUCAGUUCGGACUGGAGUCUGCAACCCGACUCCACGAAGCUGGAUUCGCUAGUAAUCGCGCAUCAGCCACGGCGCGGUGAAUACGUUCCCGGGCCUUGUACACACCGCCCGUCAAGCCAUGGGAGCCGGGGGUACCUGAAGUGCGUAACCGCGAGGAGCGCCCUAGGGUAAAACUGGUGACUGGGGCU
rnacentral:rRNA from 1 species